CAUAAUUCUAUUUUAUGAAAUUAGAAAACCUACAUUUUUCUCUCUUAAACCCGCGCGCAACACACAUCUCAUCAUAAUUCUCUUUUGUGAAAUUAGAAACCCUAAACGAAGUUUGAGUGCCAUUCAUUCCCGGCUCCGACAUUUCCAGCAUCGUCGACGCUGUUGGCCCAAAAGUUUCUGACUUUUGAGUCGGCGACCCCGUUUGCGCCUUCGCCGGCCUAGCUACCUUCGCCGAGUUCAUCGUCGUUGAUCAGUCCCAUUUGUUUCGAGUGCCCCAAGGUUGUGAUCUGGUUUCUGCUAGGGCACUUGCUGUGGCGUUUGGCACUUCUCACGUGGGGCUUGUACACAGGGCACAGUUGACGUCAGGUUAGCUGUGUAUAUGUGCUUUGAAUUUGAUUCUCUUCUUGUUUAUUGUACUGUCUCUUCUCUUUGUGUUGUGGAAUUGUGUUGCAGGUGUUGCUGGUUUUGGGUGCUGCUGGAGGUGUGGGCCUUGCUGCUGUGCAAAUUGGAAAAGCUUGUGGGGCCCUUGUUGUACUGCUGAGUUGGGUGCCCAGUUCUUCUACUGCUGUUGCAUUUCGUACUGUUGCCCCAAUAGUUGUAUUUUGCAGUUACUGUUUUUACUUGAGUUACUAUUUUCUUGAUUCAAACGAUGCUUCAAGUGUUCCUAAUACACCUUUGGAUGCAAGAGGAUCAUCUGGUGCUAGCAACCCUUAGUUUGCAUAUAAUGUAAUUUGGAUUUAAAGUUUAGUAUGAGGCUAAUUUGACAAUGUUAUGGAUUUUAUGUUGUACUUGGAUUUAUAAUAGAAGUUUGAAUUAUAAAUCUUUGAACUA